rnacentral:snRNA from 1 species
UAUCCGUGGGUUCACUGCAUCACGCACAAAUCUUUCGCCUUUUACUAAAGAUUUCCGUGCAGAGGACCAAUAAGAUCGGAAUUUAACAAUUUUUUUGCCUUGUCUUUUUGAUGAGGC